rnacentral:rRNA from 1 species
AUAGCUGUUACCGCGGACAGCUCAUUAUAUCAGUUGUAAUCCGCAAGACUUGUAAUCUUAAUGGAUACCUGCAGCAAAUCUUGAGCUAAUACGCUUUCAAGUUUCGCUACGCUAUUAUUAAACAAAAAAGUGUUUCGCUAAUAACGGGCACUAUUAAAUAAAGCGUGCGAACAGCUUUUAUUAGAACCAUAAUCCUACGGGUAACUAUGGUGACUCUGGAUAUUUAAUUGCUAAACGCUAUGGCCGAGUACCAACGCUAGUCUAUGCGAGCUUCUGCCCUAACAGCCAGAUGGCUAGAUCAGGGCUAACCAUGGCUUUGACGUGAAACGGGCAAUCUGGGUACGAUUCCGGAGAGGGAGCCUGAUAAAGGGCUACCACAUCCAAGGAAGGCAGCAGGCGCGGAAUUUAACCUAAUGCUAGCUCUGUGAGUUAGUGACGAAAAAUCUUGAGGUGAGGUUCUUCACCGAGCCUUACAAUUGAAAUGAGUUUAUUGUAAAAACUUAUUACGACAAACUACCGGAGGGCAAGCCUGGUGCCAGCAGACGCGGUAAUUCCAGCUCCAUUAGCGUAAGCUAAUGUUGCUACGGCUAAAGUGUUCGUAGUUGGCUUU